GUUUCCCGCAGACCCGGAAACGGAGCUAAGGACACCCUCCAGUGGGUCAGUGUCAGCUUUUCUGAUUCAACACUGGUGUUUGCGAUACACCUGCCCGUCCCCGGCCUCCGAUCCGCAACACCCGCAGUUCGGGGGUCACCACGUACGAUAAAACCCCCUUCAGGCGCUUGUGCUGCGCCCGAUGAUUCUCGGCAGGACCGUCAGAUAUUCCAGGCCUGGGAGCCCCACUGCGGGUUCGGGGGUCGACGACUAUUUCGAGUUAAAGUCUCUGAGGCGCGUCCCCGCCCCCGGCCGUCCGCCUUCGGUCCAGGAUUGAAUUCCCAAGCCUGAUCCUGCCUGAGGAAGAAUCCUGGAAAGGGAGGAAGAGCAAAGGAAAGGAGUCGGGAAUGGCCGUCUGUCAGGUGAAGUCAUAUCCUGGGUCGAUUUCCUGUCUCUCAUUCCUGCAAGGCCCUUCUUGGACUUGCCAACCUUGUCUGAGUCUGAAGUGUUUGUCCACACUCCCCCAGGCCUUCCCCAGUCCCUCUCCUCUGCACUUAGAUUCCAGCUCGUAGUGACCCAGGGAUCGGAGCCUGUGAGGGGGCUGCACUGGGCACAUCCUGAGGGGCUUCGCAGCAGGCGAGUGGAGACGGGUGGUGUCAGUGUGGCUGGGCUGCAGGGGGUGUUUAGGGGCCGCCUCUGGACACACAGUAGGCUCUCUGUCGACCAGGAUGAAAGAAGCCGUGUGUGGAAGUCCUGGAUUCAUGUGUAGGAAGAGUUGGAAGAUUCUGGAAAAGAAGAGUGGUAAGAAGAAAGCAGCUCUGCCUGACCUUGUAAUGCAUUCAGAGCUAAACAAGUGCACCAUGGUGUUUCUGGUUCCAAACUACUAAUUUAGAAUCAAGUUCAGACAUCAGCAUCCGUGAUAGUGGAUGUUUUAUUCCAUAGUUGGUUUUACAGUGUGGAGUCAACCUAAUCAAUGGUAAAGGUUUUAAAAAAAUCAUUCUCAGCACAUCUGUCCCACAGAGACCAUGGCGUUCCUACAGCAGCUCUUGUGAGGCAGAUGUUUUAGAUGAAAAUGGUGUUAAUUUAGCCCAGAUCUGGAGCAUAGAACUUUAUCUUCACCAUCAGAGGGGCUGUAGCCAUCUGGUUCCACCAUUAUUUUUAAGUAUUUUAUCUCAUUGACCUUAGACAUCACAUGAGUGAGUGACAUGUAUUGAUUGGUUGAUUGAAUAAGCUCCAGACCAAGAAGCAACUUAGGCACGAAGAUGUAGUCAGAAGGGGAUGCUCUUCCCUGUCACUUCCCCACCCUUCAUGUCUCAACAGGGAACCGAUGUUGUCAGUUCUGUGGCAGGAGUCAGUUCAAACCUGAUACAAACGCAUUUAACACUGGUAUAAAAUUUUAGGAAAUCUCGAUGAAGUUUGUCGUAACAUUUUAUUAUGCAAAUUAGAAAAAUUUACACAGCACGUCUAGACACUGUUUUCAUGUUAAUCAACACAAUCAGACACAGCUUGCUCAUUCAGAGCCUCAUUGGAUCAUUUUCUUAAUGGGGACACACGGGGACCUUUGCCAUUUUUCGCUGAUGUAAAGAAUGACACGGUGGCUGUGUAGGAGUAGGCCGGCCUCUCUGCAGAUGUCUCAGGAUUUCUCUGGGUCAGGCAACUCAACGUGUGAUUACUGGGUUAAGGACAGUGCAUUUCACAUUAGGAUAGAUUCUGUCCGAUAUGGUCUCCUAAAGCUACGAAGUACCCCAUCCCACAACAACACGAGACUUCCCCCCUGACGUAGGCAAAAUUGGUACUGUAAUCUCUUUGUGUUUGAAAAUUGGGGAGAAAUUGACAAUCCGUUGUAUUUCCAUUUUCCACCUACUUGUAACUUUCAUUAGUUUUGUGGGAAUAAAACCUGGAUUUUCAUACUUUGCUGUUCUCCUUUGAUAUAUUUUUAAGGGCUAUUUUAUGGCUUAAUUCUUUACACACAGCCUUGUGUCUUUAUUUUAUCAGUGUUUUGCAGUGAAAUGUUAAUCUUUCCUUCUUGCCCUCUACUUUCGGAUCUUUCUUAGGCAGAUCUGAGCUAGCAUAAUCUCAAGGUAUUAUGUUCCGUUUAGUACUCUUUUCUUAAAAUUAUCUCCUUAAAUUGGCUUUUUGUAUAUAUCUGGUAGUUAUUUAUUUCAUUGAUUGUAAAGUUUCAUGUAACACACACACAUUAAUAGGUUCAUGUGUUCUUUGGCAAAUCUCUCCAUUUAAUUUUUCUUUUCAAAAUUAUUUUUCCUCAGCACAAUGGCCACUGUUUCAUUUUUUUAAAUCCCACAUUUCUUUUGCAUUUGAAUUGCUCUGAGUUUCUAAAUCACUGAGGUCUUUAUGUCACCACACCUCCAGUAAGAAUUAGGUUUGGGGGUGCCUGGGUGGCUCAGUCAGCUGAGCAUCUGCCUUUGGCUCAGGUCAUGAUCUUGUGGUUCAUGAGUUCGAGACCCAUGUUGGGCUCUUUGCUGACAGCUUGGAGCCUGGAGUCUGCUUCAGAUUCCAUGUCUCCUUCUCUCUCUGCCCCUCUACUGCUCGUGUUCUCUCUCUCUCAAAAAUAAAAAAAAACAUUAAAAAAAUUAAAAAACAAAAAGAAUUAGGUUUGUCAGUUUUUGGUCAUGUCUUUGUUAUGUCCUUCACAUAGGCUGGGAAAUGUCUUGCAAAUAGGUUCCUCAGUGCAACUUCUAAUGGGAAUGAGUGUUUCCCCCCAGCUGGGCCCAGCUUAGGCAUCCAGAGCAGCGGUGAAUGGCAGGAGCCUGGCUGGCCCACCUACCUCAGCCUCGCCUUUGGUGGAAAUGUUUCCAGUGCUUACUGUGGAUUGUGAUGCUUGGUGGAAAGUUCUUCCUCAAUAAAAACGUUUCAGAUGUCCUGUUUGAUCCACUAGAUGUGUAGAACUGUCACUCAGGAGAAGGUCAGGUGUACGGCGUACGGCAUCCAUAUAAUCAACCGCGAGUUGG